UUAUUUGAGAGUUUGAUCCUGGCUCAGGAUGAACGCUGGCGGCGUGCCUAACACAUGCAAGUUGAGCGAUUUACUUCGGUAAAGAGCGGCGGACGGGUGAGUAACGCGUGGGUAACCUACCCUGUACACACGGAUAACAUACCGAAAGGUAUGCUAAUACGGGAUAAUAUAUCUGAGAGGCAUCUCUUGAAUAUCAAAGGUGAGCCAGUACAGGAUGGACCCGCGUCUGAUUAGCUAGUUGGUAAGGUAACGGCUUACCAAGGCGACGAUCAGUAGCCGACCUGAGAGGGUGAUCGGCCACAUUGGAACUGAGACACGGUCCAAACUCCUACGGGAGGCAGCAGUGGGGAAUAUUGCACAAUGGGCGAAAGCCUGAUGCAGCAACGCCGCGUGAGUGAUGAAGGCCUUCGGGUCGUAAAACUCUGUCCUCAAGGAAGAUAAUGACGGUACUUGAGGAGGAAGCCCCGGCUAACUACGUGCCAGCAGCCGCGGUAAUACGUAGGGGGCUAGCGUUAUCCGGAUU
rnacentral:rRNA from 1 species